ACUGCCCCUAGAGGCGUUACAGAUGUGGCUGCGGUGUCACAUUUGUGUCAUUGGGUGGCAGAGAGAAGAGAGGCUUGUCUACGCUCAGUGUUCUGGCCUGUGGACGCCUGGAUGAUGAAUAGUCUGACACU
rnacentral:snoRNA from 9 species